CUACGGGCGGCUGCAGCUAAGGAUAUUUUACAAUGCACGCAAGUGUGAUAGAGCGAACCAGAGUGUUUUUCUUAAUAGAAAAACUUUUGUUUGUUGUAAAAAGACAGGCGAAUAAGGACUGGGAGAGACCGGUGCCAGCCGCCGCGGUAAUACCGGCGGUCCAAGUCGCAGCCACAAUUAUUGGGUCUAAAACAUCCGUAGCUUGUUUAGUAAGUUUCUUGUGAAAUCUUGUCUCUUAAGGGCAAGGCGUGCAAGAAAUACUGCUAGACUAGGGACUGGAGGAAGUAAGAAGUACAAUUGAGGUAGUGGUAAAAUACGUUAAUCUUAAUUGGACUCACAAUAGCGAAGGCAUCUUACUAAUACAGAUCUGACAGUAAGGGAUGAAGGCCAGGGUCGCAAAACGGAUUAGAUACCCUGGUAGUC
rnacentral:rRNA from 1 species